rnacentral:lncRNA from 1 species
AACCUCAAGGGGAAAAUCCUACGGUACACUGGCUCUCAAAUUCAGCUGCACACUGGAACCACCUGGGAACUGUACAUAAUACUGACCCCUGGACCACCCACUGGCCCUGGGCUGAUGGAAUAUCUCUGGGCUAAGAUGAGACACUGGGGUUUGUAAAUUACCAGUUGAGUAUAAUAUAAAGCAAACUUUGGAAACAUUCCUUUUUUUCCCCCCCACAUGAAGAACUGUGUGCAUACAGAUACAGAAGUACACAAAUCUGCAGCAUAAGGCUCCUUGAGGUCCAUAGAUUAAAUGCACUGCAGUGACCAGCACCCUGGCUAGGAACACCACCAGCCCCCUGGAAGCCUCCUAUUUCCACCUUCCAGGUGAUCACAGCCCUGCCAUCCAAGCAUGGAGGAGUCCUCCCUGCUGAGAGACAUCAAUGUGGAGAAUGGAGAGCCCCUCUCUCCUCGGAGUCCCUGCUUUGACAACAAGUGCACUGGAGAAGUUUAAAUCAAGUGGGAGGCACAUGGGCAGGCUUCCUGGAUGAGGCCCUAUUGAAAGAAGGAUGGGAUCUGAGGAAUGGACCAGAGAGAGGAAAGAUGGGAAGUACAGCAAGUACAUUCAGAGCCGAGGUCACGCCCAAAAUACAAUAUUGGCUGACAAGAGAGUCCUUGCACCAGGAUCACCAAUUUUGAGAAGGCAAUGACGACUGCUGAAAAGAUCAAUUCCACAAAAUUCCAUGGAAACCACUCAUCAGACCUUUCUGAAAACACUGGAAAUGCAGGUUUCAUGCAAGGAACUCUGGGUGACAGACGGCAAAGUUUGCCAAAUGCAAACAUGCCUACCAGCUCUGAGAAGCCAUUCUCAUUCACACUGCUUCAACCCGGGAAAAAUCCCCAUGUGCUCACUGAGAACAAGUUAGCUUGUGCCACUUGAAGCUGCUUCCACAAACAGCUUCACUUCUGCACUUCUAAGCUGUUCUCCUCAAGAACUUUCAGAGCACAGUUCAGGCAUGAAACACAAAGGGUGCCAGAAAGAGAUCUCUUGAAUCUAGCAUCACCAACUUGCAGGGGAAAAGAGGACCAGCUGAGAAGAUCAAUUCUCCAAAGUCUCAUUGAG